AAAAAGCAAGCUAAAAAAUAUCCUUCAAAUCUAGUAACAAGUAAAUCAGGAACUUCAUGUAUAAGGUGAACCAAUUAGCAAGUCAGGCAUGGACCCUCAAGUGUUUUCUUGGAAAAAAUCAUAACUUCACCAUCCCUAUCAGCAGUACAGUGUAGACUGUCAUCAAUUUUACCUCUAUAAAAUGAUUCACUUACAUGGCAAUGAACCUAGAAAAGAAUUGAGAUAUUCAGGCCCUUCUUUAGACAGGAAGGGCAAUGGUGAAAGUAUCACUGCCAAGAUCUAUCCAAAGGAAAGAUCAACACAUUGCUUGCCUGAUAAAGCAGCUUUACAUCAAGUGCUAAUUUUGACCCCUCACCUCAAAACUGGACAUCUAUAAAAAUAUCCGUACGAAAUGCUUCCUGCUACUCCAGAAUUUGCAUGUUAGUCCAGAACUUGAUGCUCAUACCAUUUAACAGGAGAAAAAAGAAGUGGAGACCUUCAAAUGUCAUUGUUUCAUCAGUUCAGCCACCAAUGCUUGAGCCAUGAUCAAGUGCACUAUCACUAAAACUACCAACAGCAACCACUACUCACUUCCAGUACUCCUUCGAGAUGCGUAAUCUAGAUAUAUUUAAAAAAAAUAAAGAAAUAAGACAUUAAUAUUCUGCAGUAUAAACAAGUUCUAAAUGAUUUUGUAUGUGUUAUACCUCUUGAAGGCCCUUUUCCUUCCAUUGCUUCCUUUUUUCUUGGCAGCCUUGGCAAAGGAAUGGACCAUCCCAAGGAUGCAAUUUUCCAGGCUGCGAUAAACCAGCAUGUACAGAAAUGCCCUCACCAGGUUUCAUCUCUACCUGGCAAACCGCACAUAUGAAAAGCUUGAACAAGUUGCAUAUUGGAUAUUCUGCUUCUAACCUGCAGCCCACAAGAAGUUCAUUGAUUAUUAAUUAUCACAGAAAUGCUUAUAUCCCACAUUAAAUGUUUGUCCCAAACUCAAAUGAUAUUUGUUGCAAAUUGUUUUUCUCCAAGUUCAUAAAACUAGUUUUAUCUUAUGGUUAUAUACAAGAGAUUGCUGUACGUUUUUGUUUUUAAAUGUUCACUCACAUGCAUUAGUUUCAAAAGCGAAGCACUUGAAGCACCACAAGUAUCCUCAAGGUCUCUCACUUGGGAAAGUGCUAACAAGAUAGCUUUUUGAAGAUAACAGUAUGCCGUACACCUUUACUAUUGAUGGCAUAUUAAUGCAUCAACUCAUAUUAUAUAUAGGAAUGGAAUGGGCCAGAUUCCAAGCCAAGCAUGGAUCCAAUCCAAAUUUUUAAACACAAGGCGUAGGCUUAAUCCAGCACAAAAAUGUCUAUGCGGUAUAGCCCCAAACACAAACAAAGAUUUGGACCAGGCUGAAACAUUUCAAAAACAUGCUAGAGAUAGAAGAGAGAGAGAGAGAGAGAUCGGUGCUGACUUGCCAAGGCUGUCAGCAUCAACGACCAAGGGCAUGGGAAGUUUUAGGUUGCUAGAGGGUGCGUCAACAAGGUCAUUGGGGUUGUGUGGGACCAUCAAUUGGUGCAGUUGAGGUCAGGACCAUCAGGUACUCCCAUGGAAGAGAAGAGAGGGAGGCUAGUGGAGGGAGAAAAGAGAGGGAUCAGGAGGAGAACAGGAAGAUAGAAGGAAAGGAAAUAAAAGGAGGAGAGAAGCAAGAAAUGGGGAGGAUGGGAAUGGAAGAGGAGGAGAGGAAUUAGGUUUUGAUUUGGGCCAUCCAUCAAACAAAUAAAUGGAGAAGUUUUGUUUUUAAUAAAAUAUCCUUAUAAAGAAGCGCCCUUUUCUGGAGAAGUUCAGGUAUUCCUAGUCUUAUCAUGCAAAGGAAAAUUGCUUCAGCUGAAAAUUUGAGAAGAAAUAAUUGGCCUACAUCAUUGGCAUAUGAUUUGUGCAAUGUAGAAGAAGAAUCUCUUCCUCCUUUGUUUGCCAAUUGUGGCUAGUCUUGUCAGGUUUAGGUUUAUUUCUUAUCUAAAAGGGGGUUCACUGACUCCACUGUUUCUCAACAUCAAAUUUUGUUUCUCUAAGAUCAGGAAAGCUGCGAUGUUGGCCGGUAUUAUGCUUGCAGCCACUAUCUGUUUAUCUAUUUGCAUAUAAAGAAACAAAAGAUUGUUUGAAAACCAGUCUGAUGAUGUUGUUGAGGUGGUGGAUAAAGUUACCUUUCCUCUUGAAGAUUGGCUGAGCAAGAGCAAAGUUCAGUGUUGCUGAAAUUAAAUAUUUCUGUCUAUUAGUUAGUUAGGGAUCUAGAGGAUUGUUAGACCUUUUUGGGUUGCUGCUGUUCAUAAUCCAUCUAAUUACUUGAUAGUUGAGAUAAAGUUGAUCUCCAGUCUUUCGUUUUUUCUCUUUUUAUAGUAUUUCUUAAUGUCGUUUAACUCAUUUGUAUUUGCUCUACUUUCAUAUACUUCGAAAAGUGAUUAGACACAGCCUGAUCUUUUCACAAAAAGCUAAGACAAAAUAAAAUAAAAUAAAAUGUGCUUAUACUUUAACAUGUUAUAACUAUUCAAUAAGGCUCCAGAACAAGCUNNNNNNNNNNNNNNNNNNNNNNNNNNNNNNNNNNNNNNNNNNNNNNNNNNNNNNNNNNNNNNNNNNNNNNNNNNNNNNNNNNNNNNNNNNGAAAGUAGUUGGUCCCGGGCAUAUUUACAGCCCUAAUUAAUACUCCAAAUAUUGUUUUCUCAUUCUAAAGUGAUAGAUUAGAUUAAAUAUAUGGGACUGAGUUACAAUUUGACUCUUAAUUUACAACUGGUUUACUGGAGACUAAUGCAGUUUUCCAUCCUGACACUUGGAAUGGUACCCCAUCUUGGCAUCCUACAAGACAUCCCACUGGGGUUUGAAACCAUGCUUACCACCUUCCCUCUUUGGCUACACACUUUUUAAGUUACAAGGAAAUUCAAGGGGUUACUUCUUGGUUGCGUGAGCUUAUACUACAAUGAAUAAAGUAAAUUUCUUGCAUGCCAAAUGGCUUUCCAGGAUUCCUGGAAAGCUCCUCUUUUGCCUAAAGUUACCUAGGUCAGGAAUUCAGCAUCACUCUAAGAAACUUGACAGGUUGACUGCUAGUCACGAAAAUCUACUGAAAAUUCAUAAAAACUUCAUGAUUUACAAUGUGCAUUUCAACCAAGAAAUGCUUUGUUGUGAUGAUGCUUUAUGAUGAUGGUGAUGAAGUAUACUAGAAAAAAAGAAUGCAAAAGCAUCAAUGCCCCGUACUGCCCGGUACAAGGCGUAUCAUACCGUACCAAGAGAAACUGAUACGAAACUUCAAGUCGGUACAAGCCCCAUACCAUCUCAUAGCGAGAUGUAUCGAGGUACAUACAAGCCAGUACCGAGGCAUACCGACCUGUAUUGAGAUAAAAAUUGAAAAAAAUUGUUAGAAAGCUAUUUCAAUACAGAGGUGUACCAUACCAAACCGAAUUGAUAAGGUACCGAUACGGUACUUAGUACCAAGAUUGCGGGCCUUGAUCAAUAGUAACCAUUGAUUCAAUGACGAAACAAAUUUACUUAUCAAGUUCUAAAUCAAAAUACUGACCUUUUGGCAAGCAUUGCUGAUCCCUCUUCAUAUAUUUCUUCUACCACAUCUGGCUCAGAAUAGUCUCCAUCUGAAUGAGAUGUUGACUCACAAGACUUUCUGUGAAACAUAUGUUUGAAUACCCCUAUCCCUUGCCUCUUUGGUAGUGGAACAGUAGGAGUUACCUUUUCUAGAGGUAAUAUAUCAACUACAAUGCAGGUAGUAUCAUCUCGUAGUCCUUUGACUUGUACAGCUUCCUACAAAUGAAGAUAUAUAAAAUAACUAGCAGAAACCAUUAGAUGCGGCUCAGCCAAAAUGUAGGCAAACCAUUAGGAUGCGGUACCUUAACAAUCUGACUCGCUGCAACAUCUGCUGACAGGCCACGUGAGCAAUUAAGAGUCAUUUCAAAAGUCAAAGCAUCCCAUACGCCAUCACUUGAGAUGAUAAGUCGACCACCAGCAUUUGAUAGCUGUAGUUCAUCAGAAUCCAUUAUCUUGGUUAUGUUUCAGAAUGGCAAUAAUACAUCAUACUAAAGAACACAAAGGUUGAUAUUACAACAAUAGGUAUUAACAUGCAUAUAGUGUAACUACAUCUGAAAAUAAGUGGGAAAAAGACAGAUCCAAGAAAGAAGUGAAAUAUAUCAUGAGACAACAAUAAUUAGCACCAGUCUCUACUGACGUACUUAAACCACAGUUAAGUGAACAAUUUUAAGUACUGUUGUCUGUUGGAGUCAGCAUGGAAUUUAUUAUGUGCCAACAACGCAGACAUUUUCCAUACAUAGAUCUGGAAAAGAUAUUUCAUUUUGUCAAAUGAUACUUAUAAAAAGUCCAUGAACAUAUACCAAUGAAACUUUUUUUCUCAGUGAUACUGAUUGAGACGCUUUGUAGGUUGUAUGUGUGGAUGCUUGGAGGCUCAGCUGUUAUCUCCAUUGAAAAUCUCAUUUAUGGACAUGAGGUACACUUGGAAUGUUGAAAUGAUAAGGAGCAGGAAGCCAUACAAUCAUAUAAUUGGAGUAAUGUUUCUAAUUGCAUCCGUGUAUGUUUACCAUUAUCCAUAUGAAAUUGUUGUGCCCCAACAAUUUGAGGACAUCAACAGCAUCUGUGAUCUCUAACAUUUCCCCCCAGUAUGUAUGUAACAAAUUUUACACAAACAUAGUUUUCAAAAAAGUUCGGGGCCAAAUAAAUAAUAACCAAACCUGUGAAUAUGUCAGCAUGGUAGAGUAUCAGUUAAUGAGACGGCAAUAAGAAAUGAUGUUCUGGCAUAUAAACAAUGACCUGGAAACUAUCAUGAUCUAUGUCAUGUUGGCAAGUCCAGACACACGGCAUAUUGCACGAUAUAGUAUGUAAAAUUGGCAACAUGAAACAUGGGGUUAAAUCACAGUGCAGUAAGGCAAUACAAGUGAAUAUUACAGCUGCAAAAUAUAAAUUACCGACUUCUGGUAUAAAAUGAUUUAAUACUUAGAGAAGAAAGGGUUCCCGAAAGAAUAUACCCUGAAGGAAAUCAAGGAAAAAUACUUUCUUUUAGAUUUAGUGUGUAACCUAAUUUUUGAGAGACCAAUUAAAACAAAACAAUUUUUUGUUUAUGGGAAACCAAGUAUUCAAAAAAUCCUCAUCUUCGAUAUGCUGGGAAAAAUACUCAAGAUCUAUUAUGCCAGCUCCAGAAAAAACUUCAUAGGAGCACAUGAGAGAAAAUUUUACCCAAAAGACUAUUUGCUUAAAAAAAUCCCUCAGAUUAUAGAAAAAAGAAACAACAAAAGAAUAAUUGAGGAAUAAAUACAGAAGAAGGAGACAGUGAAUUAAGAGUUGAGGAGAGAAGAUGGGUGGGUUUGGUUUAAGAGGGGUUUAAAAGAAAGACUGUAUAGACUUAAUGCCAGUUUGCUCAGUUCCUGCCCACAUUAUAUUAUUUGGGUGACCAGGUAUAAAUGUGCAAACCUGCAUAAAAAAGUUUGGAACUGACCAAAUAAUGUAACAAACAGAAAAACAUGCAUGGUACCAUGUUAUUUAUGAAAACAAUGAAUUUACAUUAGAGAAAUGAGUCUCCAGAACUCCUCCCAAUCUGAAGCAUUGGAAGAACAACCAAUUAUGUAUCCUACGAAAGGCCUAUAUGAACUCAACAAUGAUUUGAUCUUUCAAGUUAUGGAUAGAGUGACCACUUCCUAAUAUUCAACCUUGACCCAAAUACAAUGUUUUCAGCAUUGAUGUGCUUGGUUCCUUCAUGAAGGAAGAGAUCAUAAAGGCAUAUUAUCACACUAUAAUGUAUGAAAAUGCAGCUUAUUACAUCUUAGUAAGAAGAAACUGUAAGAACAUGAGUUUGCAGUAUGUGCUAUGGCUACGUAAUUCAAGUUCAACUGAAAUUCUGCUAACUAAUUAAUCCAGUGAAAAAAAAUGAACUAAAGAACAUAGACAUUUUGGGGGAAAACCUCGAAGUGAUGUUACCAUUCUAACCCAACAAAAGAAUGUUCCCAUCCAAAGCAUAUCUACUAUUUUUUCAAUGUCUUCCCAGGGGCAUGCAAGAGUUACUUAGCAAUGAUGACAACCACAGAAAUUAUCUGGCAUGUUACUUUAAAGGAAAAAAUUCAAUGUCACAAGUAUAGUUUGUGUAUAAUACAAUGAGAAGGAAUAUAAUCAUAAAUUUGACCACUACAGGAUGGUGAACUCAGUGUAUGACUAAGUAAUAAAGCACAGGGUCUGAAAUGAGAAGUUCAAAAUGAGAAGCCAAAGGAAGCUUAGAAAGUAAAAUAAAUAGACUACUACAUUUAAGAUGGUAUGGAUGUGUUUCCUAUACAUUAGAUGUAACCUAUUGAGGAGUCAUAAAUUCAAUUUCUGAUGCUGUAAAGAGCACUAGUUGACCAAAAAACCAAUUUGGCCAGAAGUACUAAGGAAAGUCCUGAAAGAAUUGAAGGACUUAAGCCAUAAAUAAGAAUUAAUGAGCAAGAACAAAUAGCUUUCCUUAGCCAUAAAUAAGAACUUUUCAUCCAAGAUAGAUCAACAAAACUAUCUUAUCUCUGACUAAAAAUCACACAUAUCCCUAUAUUUUUGUAGCAUGAAUAUGUAAUUCUUGCAUUAUGUAAACUCACCACACACUGUGUACAUGUUCAAUAGUAGCAAAAUGAAUACAUAGGAAGACCUAUAUGAGGCUAAGGAAUGGACCAGGCUCAAGUGAUCUCACCCCUUGCCCAGAUCCAACUCAAACCCAUGCAAUUAUGUCCAGUAGUCCAAAAGAGGAGACUACCGCAAGGUGAUAGUGGAGCAGCAGAUGGCUAUGUAACCCAGAUCCUUCAAUUUAGCCUUAAAACCCCACACCCAACACUUAAACAUGGUUAUUGGUAAGCUUUUAAAUAUGAUUCUGAACUGCAUACUGUUUUUCCAUCGAAACGGUAUGGUAUUGAUACAGUACCAGUACUAAUAGUGCAUAUCAAAAUUGAAGACAUCUGAAUGAAUGAAAAACCAUCAGAAUAGAUAGGUACAAUCAGUAAGGUAUUGUUGAUAUGAACGAAGAUGUCUUAUCUGCUGGUAUGGAUGAUUCCAACAUCCUAGUACCUCUACUAGUGCUGGUUUCACAUUUGAAUGAUAUGCUACUGAUGGUACCAUCUUGUUCCAAUGGUUUUUGAAUCCAUGGUUAUUGGUAUAGGCUGACGGAGAGACAAAAGUGAUGGCAGCCAUCAAGAGGACGGAGAUGUUUUGAUAUGAUUUUGGGUUAGAUUUAGCUAACCAUGUUUCAUUUAGUUUCAACAAUUUCAACUCCAGUUUCUCAAGGAAAUACAAUAGACAUUGUUUUAAAAUAUAUUACACUUUUGAUGUCCUUUUGGUGGUUUCAAGCUAAAGUUUUAAAACAUCAUUCAGAAGAUUACAAUAUAAAAAAGCUACUCUAACAUUUCAAUGUGUAAUAUAUAUUAGUGUUUGAUGGCAACCGAGAAUUUCUUAACAUUUGAAGUCAAAUAUGAGAAAGCUAUCUAAUCUUUGCAAUUACUCACUUGCCCAGUUUUUCUUUCCUUUUCUCCUUUUCCUUUUGUGGGAGGGGAAGGGAGGCAAGAUGCCCCCAUGUGACUCUUUCACAUUUGAAUAGACUCCUUAACCGAGAUUGGUUUGGAAGAUGCUAAGAAAAUGCAUCCUAUGUCCUAAAAUUUGCAAUUUCAGGUUUAAUCUUAACAAAAUGCUUCUCCUAGGCUUGAUUUCUCACCAAUGAGUAAGUUUCCCCUUUAUUUUCCCAAAGUGAUAAAAAGCUGACCCAAAAAUAAAACUAGCAAGUCUGAAGUACUCAAGGAGACGAAGAACGUGAUCUAGACAUAUCCUUCAAAUCUAGUAACAAGUAAAUCAGGAACUUCAUGUAUAAGGUGAACCAAUUAGCAAGUCAGGCAUGGACCCUCAAGUGUUUUCUUGGAAAAAAUCAUAACUUCACCAUCCCUAUCAGCAGUACAGUGUAGACUGUCAUCAAUUUUACCUCUAUAAAAUGAUUCACUUACAUGGCAAUGAACCUAGAAAAGAAUUGAGAUAUUCAGGCCCUUCUUUAGACAGGAAGGGCAAUGGUGAAAGUAUCACUGCCAAGAUCUAUCCAAAGGAAAGAUCAACACAUUGCUUGCCCGAUAAAGCAGCUUUACAUCAAGUGCUAAUUUUGACCCCUCACCUCAAAACUGGACAUCUAUAAAAAUAUCCGUACGAAAUGCUUCCUGCUACUCCAGAAUUUGCAUGUUAGUCCAGAACUUGAUGCUCAUACCAUUUAACAGGAGAAAAAAGAAGUGGAGACCUUCAAAUGUCAUUGUUUCAUCAGUUCAGCCACCAAUGCUUGAGCCAUGAUCAAGUGCACUAUCACUAAAACUACCAAC
rnacentral:lncRNA from 1 species